GGGCCCGUAGCUCAACGGACAGAGCCACGCGCUUCUAACGCGUUGGGUGGGGGUUCGACUCCCUCCGGGCCCGCCA
rnacentral:tRNA from 1 species